UACGUAGGUGGCGAGCGUUGUCCGGAUUUAUUGGGUUUAAAGGGUGCGUAGGCGGCCCUAUAAGUCAGUGGUGAAAUAUCGCAGCUUAACUGUGAGGGUGCCAUUGAUACUGUAGGGCUUGAGUGAAUUUGAGGUAGGCGGAAUUGACGGUGUAGCGGUGAAAUGCUUAGAUAUCGUCAAGAACACCGAUAGUGAAGACAGCUUCCAAGCUUCAACUGACGCUGAGGCACGAAAAGUGUGGGGGAUCAAACAGGG
rnacentral:rRNA from 1 species